rnacentral:rRNA from 1 species
UGUCCGGGGCUGAAACACGACACCGAAGCUUAGGAAUCACAUAGUGAUUGGUAGAGGAGCAUUCUUAAAACCGACGAAGCUGUACCGGAAGGAGCAGUGGAGGGAUAAGAAGAGAGAAUGCCGGAAUGAGUAGCGAGAGGAAGGUGGGAAUCCUUCCGGCCGAAUAUCUAAGGUUUCCAGAGUAAAGCUGAUCUGCUCUGGGUAAGUCGGGGCCUAAGGAGAGGUCGAAAGACGUAUCCGAUGGACAACAGGUUUAGAUUCCUGUACCACAUAUAAACAGAACUGUGGGGACGCAUGUGGAAAGCAUAAGCCGGGAAUGGAAAUACCGGUACAAACGGAAGAGGUGUCAGGCUGGCAAAUCCGCCUGGCAAGCCAAAGACGUGAUGUGGAGCGAAAUAAAAGUUGCGAAGUAUGUGAGCCAUGUGCCGAGAAAAGCCGCUAUUGUUUUAUAUGUGCCCGUACCGUAAACCGACACAGGUGGAUGAGGAGAGAAUCCUAAGGCCGACGGAAGAAGCAUUGUUAAGGAACUCGGCAAAAUGACCCCGCAACUUCGGGAGAAGGGGUGCCCACUUCAGGGUGGGCCGCAGAGAAUAGGCUCAAGCAACUGUUUAGCAAAAACACAGGCCUAUGCGAAACCGUAAGGUGAAGUAUAUGGGCUGACGCCUGCCCGGUGCUGGAAGGUUAAGAGGAGAGGUUAGUCGCAAGAUGAAGCUUUGAAUUUAAGCCCCAGUAAACGGCGGCCGUAACAAUAACGGUCCUAAGGUAGCGAAAUUCCUUGUCGGGUAAGUUCCGACCCGCACGAAAGGCGUAAUGAUUUGAGCACUGUCUCGACAAUGCAUCCGGUGAAAUUGAAGUACCAGUGAAGAUGCUGGUUACCCGCGCCAGGACGGAAAGACCCCAUGGAGCUUUACUCCAGUUUGGUACUGGGAUUCGGUACUGCAUGUACAGGAUAGGUGGGAGACUGAGAAAUUGGAACGCCAGUUUCAAUGGAGUCACUGUUGGGAUACCACCCCUGCAGUAUUGGGUUUCUAACCAGCCGCUGUGAUCCAGCGGUGGGACAAUGCCAGGCGGGGAGUUUGACUGGGGCGGUCGCCUCCGAAAGGGUAUCGGAGGCGCUCAAAGGUUCCCUCAGAAUGGUCGGAAACCAUUUUAAGAGUGCAAAGGCAGAAGGGAGCUUGACUGCGACACCGACGGGUGGAGCAGGUACGAAAGUAGGACUUAGUGAUCCGGUGGCAUAAAGUGGGAUUGCCAUCGCUCAACGGAUAAAAGCUACCCUGGGAUAACAGGCUUAUCACUCCCAAGAGUUCACAUCGACGGAGUGGUUUGGCACCUCGAUGUCGGCUCAUCGCAUCCUGGGGCUGUAGCAGGUCCCAAGGGUUGGGCUGUUCGCCCAUUAAAGCGGUACGCGAGCUGGGUUCAGAACGUCGUGAGACAGUUCGGUCCCUAUCCGGCGCGGGCGGAGGAUAUUUGAGAGGAGCUGUCCUUAGUACGAGAGGACCGGGAUGGACGGACCACUGGUGUAUCUGCUGUCGACCAACGGCAUGGCAGAGUAGCCAAGUCCGGAAGGGAUAAACGCUGAAGGCAUCUAAGCGUAAAGCCCCCCUCAAGAUGAGAUAUCCCUCACAUAAGUGAGUAAGAUCCCUUGAAGAGUACAGGGUGGAUAGGGCAGAGGUGGAAGCAUGGUAACAUGUGGAGCUGACUGUUACUAAUCGAUCGAGGGCUUGAC